rnacentral:lncRNA from 1 species
AUCAGCAAAUACACGCCAUGGCUGUGCUCCCCACCCCCCACCGUACACUAGCAGGGCAGCAGCUCUGAUUGUCUAACGAGCAGCAGAGCCGCCCAGCAGCAACCACAUUAGGAAGGAAUCGGAAACCAACGCUCCGCUGGCUGUCACCCCUUACCCACUUGCUGUCAGACCACAGCCUGAGGCAGCCAAACCCAUUUCCUUGGGGAUCCAGCGCAAACCAGAGAGUGUGGACAGGCCGAUGGAAGAAUGUUGGACCAGCUUUAAGAAUGGGCUGUUCUAAGUCAUGAAUAUUGUAGGAAGCAGCUCUAAGGACCACAGGGCUGGAGGGUGCACAGGAAGGGGCCAGUGCAUACAGGUGUCCAAACAGUGUCAUCCGGUGUCCUGACAUGCGGCCCCAAUGGACUGAUCCAGGGUGGAAAGGAAGAGUGAGAAGAAAUCAGACAGAAGAAUUCAGGAGAUGUGGCAACAGAGUGGAUGUAGCAGAAGGGACAUAGAGAGUGCCUAAAGAUGAGUCUUUGGUCAGCAUGUGAUGAAAAGAAUGAAGACACUGGGGAAGUGGGGAGCAGAAGCGGAUGUGGGCCCAGGAGGAAGAAGAUUCCAGAGAGCAGAGAUGGCAAAAAGAUGCAUGGAAGAGAGACACAGCAGGGUCGGGUUCUGGCCUCAGGAGCCAAGGGGGAAGUGCCUGAGGAGACCCCCAAAUGAGGCCUGUGUCAAUGAGGUCUUUAGGGGACUGGUUUCCAUGUAUGCCAGGCCAUACUCCCUGGAUUCCCAGCAUUGAGAAGACCAAACACUUCUACACAUUUAUUACUGAAGCCCCCUGCAAGCUGAAGGCGGAGGAAGUGGCCAAUCUCCUAAGCCGUGUGUGGCUGAGGCAGUUGUCAGAGCUGUGAUGAGGGAAAUGCUCAUUAUUCUUCUAUCCCUCACUUGGCCAAAUAAAGAACUUCUUAGAAUUCUUCCCCUGUGACAAAACGGGGCUGUGAUUUGGAAAGCCUCAGGCAAGUUUGCUAGGGCCGCGGUAACCAAGCACCACAGACUGGGUGGCUUCAAAACUGGACGGCUUCAACAGAAAGUUAUUGUUGCUCAGUUCUGGAAGCCAGAAGUCCAAAAUCAAGGUACUUGCAGGGUCAGUUCGAUCUGAGGGCUGCGAGGGAAGGAUCUGUUGUAGACCUCUCUCCUAGGUUUGCAGGCAUUGGUCCUGAUGUUCACAGGGCAUCCUUCCUGUGCCUUCACAUCAUCUUCUCUCUGAAUGUAUCUCUGGGUCCAAAUUUCCCUAUUUUAAAAUAAGGAAAUCAGUCCUAUUGGGUUAGCACCCCGCCCCUCACUUUAACUUGAUUACCUCUGUAAAGACCCUACCUCCAAAUAAGAUCACAUUCUGCGUACUGAGGGCUAGGACCUCAACAUCUGAAUUCAGGGUGGGUGGAUGCACAAUUCAUUCCAUAACAUUAAGAAGGAAGGGAUAAGUGCCCAAGGAAUCACAUGCUCGCUUGGGGAGAGUUCCAAGCGUGCAGAGCUGGUGGUCAUAGCCUAGCCUCAGGCCUUCGGAAAUCCCCUGAAUCUGGUUUUCCCAGUUCUCAUAAUCUCAUUUCACCAAAAUACGGCAUCUCAAUACAUUCCAUGCAUUUCUGGUGACAAGCUCAUUCUGGUGCACGCUAAGCAAUGUGCUAACUACGUCUUAACUAGGGUGGUUUAACUGGUUUGGUUAACAUAGAUCUCUGAGUCAUUUCACGCAUUCCUUAAGCCUAAACAAAUCUCAUCCAGGUGUUUAAGACAUUGCACAAUAUUAGACCAUCUGAAGCUCCAUCUCCUUGGGGCAAUGAUGAUGAUGGUGAUGAAAGUGGCUGGUGACUGUUCUCAGUCUCAUCGCCAUAAUGGAACCCUACGUUGUGUUCCUCCACACUGGUGUGAGGGACACUACUAAGUGCGGCAGAGUUUGCACUCAGGAUAGAGAAAUAUGGACUCACGCACAGAUUCCAGCUGAGUCCCUCCGAUGUGCUAGGUACUAUGUCCAGCCCCCCAGGAUUCACCUGUAAGCAGGACAGUCUUUUGGAUGACAGAGGGAAUUCUCAUAUAUCCACAGGCAGAUGGAAUUUACAAGUGGAAAGACCUAGAAGUUCAGAGACAGGGGGACUGAACUUUUUGCUUUCAGUCAGAAUCUUUGCUUACGGUUGUGCAAAUGCUUGCAUUGGUGGGUUUCCAUGCCAUAUAACGUGCUACAUAUUUUUACGUUACCCUUGCACAUAAGCAUACUGUUGGGAGGGAAAAUGAAGAGGGUGGAGGUGGUAACAAACUCAAGCUAAGGAAAUGGAAUUUGGAUGGGUACAAAGUCCAGAGAAUUAGCUUGAGGAAAAUGAACCAGGAUUCACACAGGAGUUUUCAAACAUCUCAAUAUCAGGACCCCUUUACCCUCUUAAAACUUACUUCGUGAGGACCUUAAAGAGCUUUUGUUUGUGUGACUUAUAUGUAUUAAUAUUUACUAUAUUAGAAAUUAAAAGUAAGGAAUGGUUGUAAUAUGUGUUCAUUCAUUUAAAAUAACUAUAACAAACUCUUUAUUUUUUAACAUUAAUAAUGGUUUUCAUGAAAAGUAACUAUAUUUCCCCCAACCCCCACAAAAUGUAAUGAUAAGAUUGGCAUUGUGUUAUAUUUUUAGAAAUUUAUUUAAUAUCUGGUCUUAGAGAAGAUGGCUAAAAUCUCCUAUCUACUUCUGUAUUCAAUCUGUUACUUACGUUGCUUUGGCUGAAGUAUAAAAAGAAAAUCCAGUCUUACACAGUAAAGUCAAGUCUUAGAUAGGUAUACAGUUGGAAAAGGCAGGAUUUGCGAUCUCUCAGAAAGAACCUAGGGACCCCCAGCAGUCCCCUAGCCAUAUUUUGAGAAUUGUUGGACUAAUAGUGGUUUUAUAAUCUUGUUAUAUCCUGAUUGGAUUUCUCUUUCUAACUAUACCAUUAAACGGAAACUCAAAUUUCAGAAUUUUAAUCCAUAAUAUGAAAUUUUAGAUAUGGAUUAGUGUCAUGUAGAUAUAUGCAAAGUCUUAACUCUUUCUACCUCCACAUUUAAGAAGUCAGUACAGUGGCAUGACUUUGGCUCACUGCAACCUCUGCCUCCCGGGUUCAAGCGAUUCUUGUGCAUCAGCCAUCCGAGUAGCUGGGAUUACAGGCACGCACCACCACACCUGGCUAAUAUUUGUAUUUUGAGUAGAGACAGGGUUUCGCCAUGUUGGCCAGGCUGAUCUUGAACUCCUGGCCUCAAGUGAUCUGCCUGCCUCAGCCUCCCAGUGCCCGCAAUGGGAUUGCAGGCAUGAGCCACUGCACCAGGACUAAAAGUCACUAUCUUUUAGUUUGUUUGCGGUGAAAAAAAAUAGUUUAAAAAAUAAAUUAGAAACAGACACUAUUACCCAGUAUCUAUAUUUAAUCACAGAAAUAUUUCUUAAUGCUUCCAACUCUGAAGUCCCAGACAUUCUUAACUAUGUACUGUAGUUAUAAAUAAUAUGAAGGCUGGAGCACAGUGGCUCACGCCAGUAAUCCCAGCACUUUAGGAGGCCAUGACAGGCAGAUUGCUUGAGCCAAGGAGUUCGAGACCAGCCUGGGCAACAUAGUGAGACCCCUCUCCCGCCUCAUCUCUACAGUAAAUAAAUUAGUCAAGUGUGGUGGCAAUGUGUCUGUAGUCCCAGCUACUCAGGAGGCUGAGGUGGGAGGAUCCCUUGAGCCCAGGAGGUCAAGGCUGAAGUGAGCUGUAAUUGCACCACUGCAUUCCAGCUUGGUCGACACAGCGACAGCGUUUUUCAAAAAGAAAGAAAAUAUGUAUCCCUGCACCAUAGGAAAUAGGAAGUAUUGUGUGACUUUUUCUUGGUCUUUCGAGGAACUAUGUCAUAUGAAUCAUGAUGACUGCUGAAAAUGCACAGGAAGAUAAAGAAAAGUGACUUGUUGCUCAACUGUUUCAAGCCCAACUCUGGGUACCAAACUGUGGCUCCCUAAACUAACCCAGAGGGCUUGACUCUGACAAAGCUCUAGGUGCAGCCAUAAGACUGACCCUUAAAAAUCUGACCUGAGAUAGCGACAGUCUCACCCCGAAAGCAGACCACAAAUUGGGUUUAUAAUCUAGUGGUUUGCAGGAUAUGACAUACUACCUAAUGAACAGGGUGACCGAGUUUGGUGUGAUUAGUCCGCAGAUGCCAGAAAGGCUGAAGAAGCCUGCCAUGAAACUAAGUUUCUGGCCAGUGGUUCCAGCCUAAUCUCAGACCCUGGGAACAGAGAAGCACCCCUUCAUCUCCUCCUGCAGGUAGAGAUUCACCACAUUCACCUUUGUAAGCUCCCUUUCCAACAACCUUGGGCACCUUUUGCAACCUAUAAAGGUCCUCUCCUUGAAUGCCUGCUGCUUUUCCCUGUGCUUGUCCUAUCUCACUCAGAUCUUUGAUUCCCCUGACGACAUUCCCCACCCCCUCCCCACCCCAUCUCAGCUGUCCUUCUCAGCCUCGCUAUCUACUCUCAUUCCUCACCUGAGUGUUCCAGCAAGAUCACUGUUCUAUAAAGGCUCAACCUUCAAACUUGCAAUACACAUUUCCUGGGUCCUGCUUUGUCUCUAUCCUCUGUGCUCAGCCCUGGUGUAGGAUCAGUGUUCCUGUCACUCCAUCUCCUUUUCCAGGGAUAUUUGCAUCUUUAGUAGUAGUCUUCAUUGGUGGUCCUUCAGUGGAGUGUCACAAAGAGAAGGGAAAACACUCAGGUACUAUGAGGGGAAAGGUUGGGGACUGUUGAGAGAUCACAAGGACACCUCUCACUCCUACCCCCAAAGCUACCUUAACCUAUUCCUGUCAAGACAGAAGGUUGGCCGGGUGCAGUGGCUCACACCUGUAAUCCCGGCACUUUGGGAGGCCAAGGCAGGUGGAUCACCUGAGGUCCAAAGUUUGAGACCAGCCUGGCCAACAUGGUGAAACCCCAUCUCUACUGAAGAUACAAAAAAUUAGCCAGGCAUGGUGGCAAGUGCCUGUAAUCCCAGCUACUCGGGAAGCUGAGGCAGGAGAAUCGCUUGAACCAAGGAGAUGGAGGUUGCAGUGAGCCAAGAUCGUGCCACUGCACUGCAGCCUGGGAGACAGAGCAAGACUCCA